rnacentral:rRNA from 1 species
GACGAACGCUGGCGGCGUGCCUAACACAUGCAAGUCGAACGAAGCUUGACUAAUGAUUUCUUCGGAAUGAAAUCUGAUAUGACUGAGUGGCGGACGGGUGAGUAACGCGUGAGCAACCUGCCCUUCGGAACGGGAUAGUGUCUGGAAACGGACAGUAAUACCGUAUAACGUAUUUUUACCGCGUGAUAGAAAUACCAAAACUGAGGUGCCGAAGGAUGGGCUCGCGUCUGAUUAGAUAGUUGGUGGGGUAACGGCCUACCAAGUCGACUAUCAGUAGCCGGACUGAGAGGUUGAACGGCCACAUUGGGACUGACACACGGCCCAGACUCCUACGGGAGGCAGCAGUGGGGAAUAUUGCACAAUGGGGGAAACCCUGAUGCAGCAACGCCGCGUGAAGGAAGACGGUUUUCGGAUUGUAAACUUCUGUUCUUAGUGAAGAAUAAUGACGGUAGCUAAGGAGCAAGCCACGGCUAACUACGUGCCAGCAGCCGCGGUAAUACGUAGGUGGCAAGCGUUGUCCGGAAUUACUGGGUGUAAAGGGAGCGUAGGCGGGAUGCCAAGUCAGCUGUGAAAACUACGGGCUUAACCUGUAGACUGCAGUUGAAACUGGUAUUCUUGAGUGAAGUAGAGGUUGGCGGAAUUCCGAGUGUAGCGGUGAAAUGCGUAGAUAUUCGGAGGAACACCGGUGGCGAAGGCGGCCAACUGGGCUUUAACUGACGCUGAGGCUCGAAAGUGUGGGGAGCAAACAGGAUUAGAUACCCUGGUAGUCCACACUGUAAACGAUGAUAACUAGGUGUGGGGGGUCUGACUCCCUUCCGUGCCGCAGCUAACGCAAUAAGUUAUCCACCUGGGGAGUACGACCGCAAGGUUGAAACUCAAAGGAAUUGACGGGGACCCGCACAAGCAGUGGAUUAUGUGGUUUAAUUCGAAGCAACGCGAAGAACCUUACCAGCACUUGACAUCCGACUAAGGAAGUAGAGAUACAUUUGGUGCCCUUCGGGGAAAGUCGAGACAGGUGGUGCAUGGUUGUCGUCAGCUCGUGUCGUGAGAUGUUGGGUCAAGUCCCGCAACGAGCGCAACCCCUGCCAUUAGCUGCUACGCAAGAGCACUCUAAUGGGACCGCUACCGACAAGGUGGAGGAAGGUGGGGACGACGUCAAAUCAUCAUGCCCCUUAUGUGCUGGGCUACACACGUAAUACAAUGGCCAUCAACAAAGAGAAGCAAUACCGCGAGGUGGAGCAAAACUUCAAAAAUGGUCUCAGUUCGGACUGCAGGCUGCAACCCGCCUGCACGAAGUUGGAAUUGCUAGUAAUCGUGGAUCAGCAUGCCACGGUGAAUACGUUCCCGGGUCU